GAAAAUCAUGACGCACUGGACUGGUUUGUUAACUGGGAAAGGAGCAUUCAAGAGGAUGAAUCUGUGAAGAACAAAGAAAACUCUUUAAUAUCAUACCAAACACGACAGGACAUUGUCUCGGCUAUUUUGGGGUUUGAAGAACUUUGUGUAUAUAAAUUAAAAAAAUCUCAUGCAUCCAUCAUUCCUAGCAGGUUAAACAGUGAUAUUGUUGAAAAUACAUUCUGCCAACAGAGAACUCUCCACAAUGGAGCAAACACACAUCCUACAUACCUUGGAUACUGUCACUCUUUAAACUCUGUGAUUUUGGGACAAACUUCAAUUUCCAGAAAGUCCAACACCGGUGGAGAAUGCGCUACUUUGCCACAAACUUGUCCACUGCCAAAAAAAGUUCUGAAAGAACAGGUGCAGAAUCAGGAGGUUCAACAGUAAUUGGAGACUGGUUAACUCCACUGGGCCCUGGGAUAUCAGAUACUUUGACUUUGAGAUUUUUACAAAUCUGAAUCAAGAUUUGCUUGCACAUAUCCACUAACAUAACGCAGCUUGCCUCUUCCACUGGUAUCAAGUUCACAUUCUGCUGCUGGUUUUUUCAAUGGUAUGGGAUCAGACAACUGGAGAUGAGGAGUCAGACUGAGAAAGAAGUUUUCCUCCAAGUGAAAAAGAAUGGAUGUCAUAAGUCUACAAUAAGGUCCAUUCAAGUCCUGGUGAUAAAACUGCAAAAGAUUCAUAACACUUUGUUCAAACUCAUCUGAAUUUAAGUACUUAUUAAAUGUUGUAAAGAAGGUAUUUCUGUUUGCUUGGGUGAAUUUGGUUUUACCCUCGGGAAAUGAAUGCAGUCCAAUGUUUUCAAUUUCAGACCACUGAUUUUCAAACCAUUGGUCAAACUUGUAAAAGUUUUUGUAAAUAGCAUCUUUGAAAUUCAUCAUGUCAUUUUCUACAGGGGUGUCUUUAAAUUGCUGUAACACACUUUCAAGUGCAAUUCUAGAAGCUGAGUGUGAUUGUUCAUGAAAAGAAGAAUGUGGCAUAGCAGGUCGUUCAUCAUCAUCAGGGUCAAGCAUGUUUAAAAUUUCUAAAUUUUCUAUUUCUGAUUCUGAAAAAUCAGAGUCAAAUUCAAAGUUUUUUAAGUUGCAGAGGGUGGGUGGAUUUUCAUUGCCGUCACUAUCUUCAGAGUCUUCUUCAUUUUCUUGUUUAGAGUUUAUGCAACAACUCAGAUCAUUUUUUACAUCACCGAUUGAUAGACUUUCAUAAAAUCUAUAGACAUG